rnacentral:misc_RNA from 1 species
GAUGAAGAAUGCAGCGAAAUGCGAUAAGUAGUGUGAAUUGCAGAAUUCAGUGAAUCAUCGAAUCUUUGAACGCACAUUGCGCCCUUUGGUAUUCCAAAGGGCAUGCCUGUUCGAGCGUCAUUUGUACCCUCAAGCUUUGCUUGGUGUUGAGCGUCUUGUCUCUAGCUUUGCUGGAGACUCGCCUUAAAGUAAUUGGCAGCCGGCCUACUGGUUUCGGAGCGCAGCACAAGUCGCACUCUCUAUCAGCAAAGGUCUAGCAUCCAUUAAGCCUUUUUUUUCAACUUUUGACCUCGGAUCAGGUAGGGAUACCCGCUGAACUUAAGCAUAUCAAUAAGCGGAGGA